UCUGUUGCCAUGGUGGGUAGUUGCUUC
rnacentral:piRNA from 1 species